rnacentral:snoRNA from 1 species
AAUACAAUGAUGAUAUUGAGGAUUUUGGCAGUGGCGACAUCAGUUGCCGUCAACCUUCAAUCCAGAAAAUGACUUCACUUUCCACUGAGCAUU